CUAAAACAUUGAUUCCUGUACGAUCACUGAAGUUAAGCAGCGUCGAGCCUGGUCAGUACCUAGAUGGGUGACCGCUUGGGAAUAUCCUGUGCUGUAAG